rnacentral:lncRNA from 1 species
AGAAUUGGCCCGGAGAGCCAUUGCAGUGGCCGAGGAGAGACUCUCAGAUGACAAGUGGCCAGAAUACUACGACACCCGAUCUGGGAGGUUCAUUGGGAAGCAAUCCCGAUCUUACCAGACAUGGACUAUUGCUGGUUUUCUGACCUCAAAAAUGUUGCUGGAGAACCCAGAGCUGGCUUCAAUUCUGACCUGUGAUGAGGACCUUGAGCUGCUCGAAGGCUGCGCUUGCUGCCUGUCCACGAAGAGGACCAGGUGCUCACGCCGGGCAGCCAAGUCACAUAUUGGGUGAAGCUGUGAAGGUCAUGUUGUUCUUUCUACUGUGGACGCACAAUGUAUACUACCGACUGAGAAUUAACCAAGACACAGACUCUUCAGCUGUACAUUAGUAUAGGUUUAUG